rnacentral:lncRNA from 12 species
GGGGGGGGGGGGGGGGGGGGGGGGGGGGGGGGGGGGGGGGGGGGGGGGGGGGGGGGGGGGGGGGGGGGGGGGGGGGGGGGGGGCCCGCCGCCCCCCAUCCCCCCAGUGACAUUCCUUGCAUUUUUACCAAUUCCCGCUUUUAUUUAUCCCAGAAUCCACAGAAAGCGCCGCGAGGCUCCCCAGGCACCAGCCCCGAGCGGGGAAACUGGAAACUGAGGCAGGGACACCCCAGGCUCCUUCCCCCCAGUCCCAACUUGGGGCACAGACCCCCAACCCUCCUUCCCCCCAGUCCCAAACUGGUCCAGCUGGGGCAGGGUCCCAUCCAUCACCUUCUUCCCAGUCCUUAACUGGGGCAGGGACUUCCCAAACUGCUUUCCCCUCGCCCUAAACUGGCCCAGGGCCCCACCUAUCAUCUUCCUCCCAGUUCCCAACUGGUCUGACUGGUACAGAGACCCUCCAGGCUCCUUCCCCCCAGUCCCAAACUGGUCCGACUGGGGCAGGGCCCCAUCCAUCAGCUUCCCCCCAGUCCCAAACUGAAGCAGGGACCCUCCAGGCUCCUUUUCCCCAGUCUCAAACUGGGGCAGGGACCUCCCAGCCUCCUUCCCCCCAGUCCCAAAUUGGUCAGACUGGGACUUGAACCCUCCAGGCUGCUUCCCCCCAGUCCCAAACUGGGGCAGGGACCUCCCAGCCUCCUUCCCCCCAGUCCCAAAUUGGUCAGACUGGGACUUGAACCCUCCAGGCUGCUUCCCCCCAGUCCCAAACUGGGGCAGGGACCCUCCAGGCUCCUUCCCUCCAAUCCCAAACAUGGGAUGGGACAGGGCCCCAUCCAUCAGCUUCCUCCCAGUCCCCAACUGGGGCAGGGCUCCAUCCACCACCUUCGCCCGAACCUCAAACUGGGGCAGGGACCUCCCAGCCUCCUUCCCCCCAGUCCCAAAUUGGUCAGACUGGGACGGGGGGGGGGGGGGGGGGGGGGGGGGGGGGGGGGGGGGGGGGGGGGGGGGGGGGGGGGGGGGGGGG